UAAAGCGCGCGCAGGUGGUUUAAUAAGUCUGAUGUGAAAGCCCACGGCUCAACCGUGGAGGGUCAUUGGAAACUGUUAAACUUGAGUGCAGGAGAGAAAAGUGGAAUUCCUAGUGUAGCGGUGAAAUGCGUAGAGAUUAGGAGGAACACCAGUGGCGAAGGCGGCUUUUUGGCCUGUAACUGACACUGAGGCGCGAAAGCGUGGGGAGCAAACAGGAUUAGAUACCCUGGUAGUCCACACCGUAAACGUUGGGCGCUAGGUGUGGGACCUAUUCCAUGGGUUCCGUGCCGUAGCUAACGCAUUAAGCGCCCCGCCUGGGGAGUACGGCCGC
rnacentral:rRNA from 1 species